rnacentral:lncRNA from 1 species
GUGGCUUCUGGAGUCUUCUAGAUGUAAGAUAAUUGCGCAGCACGUUAAUAUCUUUACGUAAUCCCGACAUGUGGGCCUUUCUUCCGUAUUUCCUGAUAACCCCCUGCAGAAAUAGACAAACACCAAAACUCGUGGAAUUCUGUCAGAUAAAACCCUAAGUCUAGAUCUUGAUCUCAUUUGGAUCCUUUUCUUUAUUUAUUUGAUAAUUAAAUUUGAUACUUAAGGACCGUCAACAAACUCCCCCAAGCUUACCUCUUGCUCGUCCCUGAGCAAGGAUAGACUCAGCUAAAGAUCAUAAGUAGUUGCAAUAUCUUUAAAAAUUUGACAGUACACAUGCUUUUAAAUAAGAUCUCAUCUCUGAGUUAGAGUAAACUAUCAAGACUUAAAACUUACUUACUUUACCUUCACCAUGGGACUUGUAACUGUCACUUCUGUCUUGAGUGGUUAAAAGAUAGAACAGUCUAGCCAAGUGCCAUGUCUCUUAUUCUUGAUCAGCUAUAGCUCUGGGUUUUUUUGCAGAUUUUCAAAUAAAACUCAGAAAUUCAUUGUAUGAUUCUCUCAGGUCUCUCUUUUGUGGUAUUUUUGGAUCCUUACCAAGGCAGUGAUGGUAUAUGCCUUCUCUCAAGAUAUGUAGUAUUUGUGGUAUGAGGCAUAGUGACAUUGCCUUCUCUCUCACCCUACUCUAAUAAGGCUUUAAUAUCUGGAGCUCAUAGGUGGGAGAUAAAGUAUACAUACUUACAAGACAUUUAUUGCAUAGUCAAACCAUGGAUCCAAAGAAACAAAUCAAUAAGCCAAAUCAAGAUGAGCAUGUGUGGCGAAUAAAUGGUGUAUGGUGAUGAUGGUGAUAACAAUGGUGAAAACAAUUGUGGUGGAAGUCUAAUUCUACUUUGGUGUUUGAGGGGAUACAUACCUUCCUUGCUUUUGAAACUUUAUGAUGAGAAUGAGAUGCUCUAUCUUUUUUUAUUUUCUCUCAGGUGGGUAUCUUGCACCCCUAAUUCUACUGUCGGACACUUGUCCAUUUUUACCUCUCGUCUCACUUUUUCUUUUCUUUCGAGUUUCCGAGCACUUGCUCCUUUUUAUUUCCUCGUAUCUCUUUUUUUUUCAUUCUCUUUUUUUUCAGAGCAUUCAUCUCUUGAGAUAAUAUAGCAAGUGGUAGUAACAAGAUAACUUGAGCAUUUAUUUCACAAGGGAAAAACAGAAAUAUUUUUGGUUAUUCUCUCCCGACUUAGGAGUAGAAUAUUUUUGGGUGAUUCUGGAGAUGGAAUGGUGGAUAUAUGUGGAUGGUACUUCCGGAGUAGAAGUAGUAUAUAUGAGUGAACGUGCAAGUGAAAUCUUGAUUUAACCACAUGACAAGCUCCUAAAGGUCUACACAGCUUGACCACACUCAAUGCUCAUAAGCAGUAGAUAGUAAAUGUGUGGCUCAAAGUCUAGCAAGCAUGUAUAUAUGGCUGUGGUAGGAAUUUAAACUCUCAUGAUACAGGAACUCAUCAUGCAACAUUUUAAAGAUUUUCAAAGAUAAAAUUCUCCAGAAUUCUAGCAUCUAUAGGAACAGAUAAACAGCAGCUCAACCUUCCCAUAUCAUAUCCGUUAACAACUUAGACUUCAGAUCAAGUUUUCAUCCCACAAGUUUAGGUCUAGAGUAAGCUUUAAAUUAUAACAGUUAUAUCUAAACUUGAGAGAGAACUUAAAAUUUGCAAAUUAGGCAGAGCAACUAUCUAUCAUAUCCAUGCUUAAGUUUUAUUUAGAUACAGAUUAGCAUAGCCAAUUUAUUUAUUUAUUAAACACACUAAGCAAAAGACAUAUAUAUAUAAGCAUAAAAUCUUUAUUUGGUUUUCCAUAGUUUAUGUGUAUUUAUAUUUUAAAAUAAUAUAAGUAUAAAGAUAGAUAGAAAUACUUAUCGAGAUAAAUGGGGGUGCUCUCCCCCAAGCUGAAUUUUGACGUAAUUUCUCUUGAUGUAGCUAGCAGGUGGCAGAGGUGUAUUUGAAAGUCAGCAGCAUUCUGACAGCGAUUAGAAUGUCCUCCGUCUGCUAGUCUUCUUGAUUCUUAAAUUCUGUGGAGCUCAAAUAGACAACAUAGCUUGUGGAUCUGAUUAAGUGUUAGCAUAAAUAUCUAGCCUUUAUUAUCUUGAGACUCCUUAAUAAAUAUUACUCCCUGUUUUUAUAUUUUUGUUUUUAUAGAGCAGAAAAAUAAUUAUUUUAUUUUUAUGCCACCAUAGUGAAUGUACUUAUGGGUUUUAUGCCAUUUGUCUACUCACAUGGGGCUUACUGUUUUUCACAUUUUUAUUUUCUUUUUAAGAUAGUAUGAACUUAAUUAACUAAGUAACUAUUUGAAAUAAUUGAAAGGGAAAGGAUAACUACCAAGUUUACCUCUUGGCAAGGCGUUCGGUGUUUUUAAGUCCUCCGAACGGGACUCUCCACUUUCUUAAUCGUCCUGAGGUUCGUUGGAUGGCGUAGUCGGUACUUCCGGCAGCGCCUCUGUUGAUAUUUGGUAACGCAAUAAGAAAACGAUCCACAAGCGCACGGAUAUCGGUGAGCAUUUCACCCGGGAGGUUAUCCAGAGUUAUCGUAUUUAUAUUUUUACCACUGGGAGAAAGGGUGUAUCUGGCUAACCAAAUCUAUUGCUACUAUCCCUUUAGGCUACAAAGAAUGUCUCUCGAUGUGAGUGAGAGAAGACGGCAACCAUAGUCUCCUUCUAACCUUGGUAAGGAUGAUCUACUGUUCUAAUGGGGAGGCUAACGGAAUCUAGACAACACAAAGGAUGUUCGACCCGCACCUAUAAACCCUAUCCUUCCUGCUAACGAGAUGUGAUCUGCAAAGGUAACUCGGAAUUGUCACGUUCCUCAUUACUACCACGGUCCAGCUAGUCAGGGAAUAUCUAUGAGUACCCCAGCCUAAACACCACGUUUACGCCAGCAAUGAUUACUCUAAACUCUACGCGAAGAGAUUAAAGUAAACUCAUAAACCAUAAGAACAAUAAAACAAGAACUUACUAGAAUUUAGAAGUCGAAAUACUGAAGAAUCCUAGGAGCAAGCUUCGGGUUAGUAGAACUUGAUCCCACAGGUACAAGCUUGGAGUAGACCCCGACAGGCCGGGCUUCCUCCAAUCUACACCUCCACUCUAUCUCUCUCAAUCUAGUAGAAACUAGAAGAUCUAUUUCUACCUUACAUUGGUUGCUAAGCCUAAAAAGAAAUAUUAAUUAGAGAAGAGGUUUUCCUUCGAGGGCACCCCUCAGUCUCUAUGAUAAUUUCUUCAUGUCUUCUCCAGGGGCCAGGGGCCUUGCUUAUACAGUCCUCCUCCUCUGUGCGUUUUUGGUUCAGCAGGCGAUGUGGUACUAAACUUUGCACCCUAUCUCAUUAAAAUGCACAUAGGCCUUAACUGACCAAAAUCUGAUUUGGGCCCAAUUAAUCCGCAGCUCUUUUAUGUGGAGUCCUUCUUUUAUUAAUAUCUCUUGAUUCCGAACUCCAAAUAUAACAAAUAAUAUAUGCAUUUCGAUCAGCUCGACGAGAUCUUUGCAAUGGUGGACUCCAUUCUGUGAUUGGUGGAAACACCUGGGCGGGCGCCCUGCCCCCGCGCCCGUUUGCCUUCUCGUUCGUUCCCGUGGCUUCUGGAGUCUUCUAGAUGAUAGAAAAUUGCACGGUGCGUUGAUAUCUCUAUGUAAUCCCGACAUGUGGGCCUUUCUUCCGUAUUUCCUGAUAACCCCCUGCAGAAAUAGACAAACACCAAAACUCGUGGAAUUCUGUCAGAUAAAACCCUAAGUCUAGAUGUUGAUUUCAUUUGGAUCCUUUUCUUUGUUUAUUUGAUAAUUAAAUUUGAUACUUAAGGACCGUCAACAAACUCCCCCAAGCUUACCUCUUGCUCGUCCCUAAGCAAGGAUAGACUCAGCAUUGGAUUAGAAGUUGUUGCAAUAUCUUUAAAAAUUGACGGUACACAUGCUUUUUAAAUAAGAUCUCAUGAGUUAGAGUAAACUGUCAAGACUUAAAACUUACUUUACCUUCACCAUGGGACUUGUAACCGUCACUUCUGUCUUGAGAGGUUAAAAGAUAGAACAGUCUAGCCAAGUGCCAUGUCUCUUAUUCUUGAUCAGCUAUAGCUCUGGGUUUUUUUUUUGCAGAUUUUCAAAUAAAACUCAGAGAUUCCUUGUAUGACUCUCUAAAUCUCUCUUUUGUGGUAUUUCUGGAUCCUUACCAAGGCAUUGAUGGUAUAUGCCUUCUCUCAAGAUAUGUGGUAUUUGUGGUAUAAGGCAUAGUGAUAUUGCCUUCUCUCUCACCCUACUCUAAUAAGGCUUGAUAUCUGGAGCUCAUAGGUGGGAGACAGCUAAUACAUACUUACAAGAUAUUUAUUGCAUAGUCAAACCAUGGAGCCAGAGAAACAAGUCAAUAUGUCAAAUCAAGAUGUGCAUGUGUGGCGAAUGAAUGGUGUAUGGUGAUGAUGGUGAUAACAAUGGUGAAAGUCUAAUUCUACUUUUGCUCUUUUGAGGGUAUACAUACCUUUCUUGCACUUUGAAGCUUUUUGGGGAGAAUGAGAUGCUCUAUAUUUUCUUUUUGUUUCCUCUCAGGUGGGUAUCUUGUACCCCUAAUUCUACUGUCGGACACUUGUCCAUUUUUACCUCUCGUCUCACUUUUUUCUUUUCUUUCGAGGUUCCGGGCACUUGCUCCUUUUUAUUUCCUCGUUUAUAUAUAUUUUUUUUUUCUUUUCUUUUUUUUUUCAGAGCACUCAUCUCUUGAGAUAAUAUAGCAAGUGGUAGUAACCAAAAUAUUUGGAGCAUUUAUUUCAUAGGGAAUAACAGGGAUAGGAAAAUGUUUUUGACUAUUCUCUCCCGGAUUAGGAGUAGAAUAUUUUUGGGUGAUUCUGGAGAUGGAAAUGGAUGGAUAUAUGUGGAUGGUACUUCCGGAGUAGAAGUAGCAUAUAUGAGUGAACGUGCAAGUGAAUCUUGAUUUAACCACAUGACAAGCUCCUAAGGGUCUACACAGCUUGACCACACUCAUUGUUCAUAAGCAGUAAAAAGUAAAUAUGUGGCUCAAAGUCUAGCAAGCAUGUAUAUAUGGCUGUGGUAGGAAUUUGAACUCUCAUCAUAUAGGAACUCAUCAUGCAAUAUUUUAAAGAUUUUUCAAAAUAAAAUUUUCCAGAAUUCUAGCAUCUCUAGGAACAGAUAAACAGCAGCUCAACCUUCCCAUAUCAUAUCCGUUAACAACUUAGAUUUCAGAUCAAGUUUUCAUCCCACAAGUUUAGAUCUAGAGCAAGCUUUAAAUUAUAACAGUUGUGUCUAAACUUGAGAGAGAACUUCAAAAUUGCAAAUUAGGCAGAGCAACUAUUCAUCAUAUCCAUGCUAGAGUUUUAUUAUUAAGAUUCAGAUUAGCAUAGCCACUUUAUUUAUUUAUUAAACAUACUAAGCAAAAGAUAUAUAUAAGCACAAAAUAUUUAUUUGGUUUUUCACAGUUUAUGUAUUUUAAUAUUCUAACAUAAUAUAAGUAUAAAGAUAGGUAGAAAUACUUAGCGAGAUAAAUGGGGGUGCUCUCCCCCAAGCUGAAUUUUGACAUAAUUUUUCUUGAUGUAGCUAGCAGGUGGCAGAGGUGUAUUUGAAAGUCAGCAGCAUUCUGACAGCGAUUAGAAUGUCCUCCGUCUGCUAGUCUUCUUGAUUCUUAAAUUCUGUGGAGCUCAAAUAGACAACAAAGCUUGUGGAACUAAUUAAGUGUUAGCAUAAAUAUCUAGCCUUCAUCAUGUUGAGCUUCCUUAAUAAAUGUUACUUAUUUAGCAGGAUCAUGCACUUAUUAUUUUUAUAUUUUUAUUGUAAGAUGAAAACUUAUUUAUUUUAUUUUUAUGCCACCAUAGUGAAUGUACUUAUGGGUUUUAUGCGAUGAGCAUAAUCACAUGGGGCUUACUAUUUUUUUAACAUUUUUAUUUUCUUUUCAAGAUAGCAUGAACCUGAUUAACUAAGCAAACUAUAAUUGAAUAAUUGAAAGGAAAAGGAUAACUACCAAGUUUACCUCUUGGCAAGGCGUUCGGUGUUUUUAAGUCCUCCGAACGGGACUCUCCGUUUUCUCAGUCGUCCUGGGAUUCGCUAGGUGGCGUAGUCGGUGAUUCCGGCGGCGCCUCCUCUUUGUUAUAACUAUCUUCUCUCUCCACACCUGACUCGGCGCUAACGGUCUCCUCAGGACAGUUCUGUUCAAGCUAUAUGUGUUCAGACCUUAUCACUUCUCCUUCGUAGUCUACCCAUCCGUCCUUGAUGAUUUGCCUCCUCUGGUUACGGUUGCGUUGUCUUCUUCUUGUCCUGACCUGCUUAAAAUCUUCAACUAUAUAGUUAGAAUCAUUAAAGUAGUGGCGCACCUUCUCAGAGGGGAAGUGCAUGUGGACAUCUCUGGUUCCAAUGUAGAUGAUUGCUUUGAUAGUGUUGAGGAACGGUCUUCUAAGGAUGGUGGGUGCAUCAUACUCGUCUUCUCCCAUGUUAAUGACCUAAAAAUUACGUGGAGCCGAAUGUAUGUUGGUUGUAGGAGCAUGGUUCCAUGCAGGAGCUGAUAAGUGACUGCGGCCAUUAUGUUGUCGUCAGAUCCGGUGUCGUAGAGUGUCUUCUAAAAAGAGUAUCCAUUGAUUGUGCACUCAAUGCUUGGAACACCAGGGUCAUCCUUCUUGAUCAAGAAAGGUGACUUGAGUCGACGAUCUUGACAUCCUUGAGCUGCAGUGACCAUCUCAGCUGACUCGGUCCACAUUUUCUUGUUCUUGUUCCUCCUAUUGGUCCUCUUCCUUGGUUCAUGUCGGGAUUGCUCUGAAGCUUGUGUAGUCUUGUUCUUGAAGGAAAGUCUCCUUCUUCCCCUUGAUGUAGAGACUGAUCUUGGCAGCAUUAGCGUAGAUGACUGCUCUGGUGUUUAGGAAUGGCCUCCCUAAGAUGAUGGGUGCCCUCUCCUCACUACCAGUCUCUAUCACCACGAAGUUUGCUGGAGCGUACAAGGUACCAACUCGGACAUAGAGUUUCUUCAAUAUUUCCUUUGGGAAACUAAGUGUCUGAUCUCCAUUGUGUUUGUGCUCGUAGAUCCCGGUUCUUCACUUGAUGGAAUCUGGGAGUUGUAAAACUCCUCCAUGUUUUGUUUGAAGUGUACCUAUUCAUAGAGACAAGGCAGAGAUCAAGUGCAUGGGCCCUGUUGGUGGAAAACACCAACAGAACCAAAAGUGUAUUUUUUCUUCUCUAACCUUAAGCAUAGUGAGCAAGACAAAGUUGAUGGAUAAUAAGAUCAUGAGUGUAGUAUUUGAAAAUUUUGUCAGAUCAGAUGGCUCAACCUAAUGGAAAGAUAAUCUAUCUAUAUUUAUGUUUUGUUUAUAUCUUCCAAAUAUUGAAUGUGCAACAUAUUAGCUUAUAUGUUUAGGAGCGUGGGAUCACGAAGGUAGCACUAAGAACAAAGAUUAAAGGACUAAACAUGUUGAAUUAAUUGAGUUGGUUAAUCUGGAGUUAUAAAUCAUACAUGUUUGUCUCUUUAUUUAUGUGAAUGCUAGAACCAAGGAGAAACUUAUAAAAGCGAUAGUCAAGUACCUUAAGGUGUUACCUUACUUGAAGAGUGACGGUACAGUAUCACCUUGUGGAAGCUUUCCUUUCUUAGCGGUUGUGCAUCGUGUUUGUGGCACCCACCAUGAAUCAUCUCUUAUGAGCCACGUCUUUCUUGUGCAAAUUGUUAAACUUCAUGUGUCACUUUCUUCAUCUCCAAUGCGAGUUUAUCUCAGGACUUCCCAGGUUGAUAUUGAAAGUUUUCCUGCAGGGGUUAGUCCAACAAAAUAUCCCCUAUCUACUAUAGCAU